UACAGAGGUCUCAAGCGUUGUUCGGAUUCAUUGGGCGUAAAGGGUGUGUAGGUGGCGCGCUAAGUCGGGUGUGAAAUUUCGGAGCUUAACUCCGAAACUGCAUUCGAUACUGGCGUGCUUGAGGACUGGAGAGGAGACUGGAAUUCAUGGUGUAGCAGUGAAAUGCGUAGAGAUCAUGAGGAACACCAGAGGCGAAGGCGGUUACCUGGACAGUUACUGACGCUCAGGCACGAAAGCGUGGGGAGCAAAAGGG
rnacentral:rRNA from 1 species